rnacentral:rRNA from 1 species
UACGGGGGGGGCAAGCGUUGUUCGGAAUUACUGGGCGUAAAGGGCGCGUAGGUGGCCAACUAAGUCAGACGUGAAAUCCCUCGGCUUAACCGGGGAACUGCGUCUGAUACUGGAUGGCUUGAGUUUGGGAGAGGGACGCGGAAUUCCAGGUGUAGCGGUGAAAUGCGUAGAUAUCUGGAGGAACACCGGUGGCGAAGGCGGCGUCCUGGACCAACACUGACACUGAUGA